rnacentral:rRNA from 1 species
UACGGGGGGGGGUAAGCGUUGUUCGGAAUUACUGGGCGUAAAGGGCUCGUAGGCGGCCAACUAAGUCAGACGUGAAAUCCCUCAGCUUAACUGGGGAACUGCGUCUGAUACUGGAUGGCUUGGAUUUGGGGAGAGGGAGUGCGGAAUUCCAGGUGUAGCGGUGAAAUGCGUAGAUAUCUGGAGGAACACCGGUGGCGAAGGCGGCAUCCUGGACCAAUAUUGACGCUGAGGAGCGAAAGCCAGGGGAGCAAAGCGGG